GGAAUAUUGGACAAUGGGCGAAAGCCUGAUCCAGCCAUGCCGCGUGUGUGAAGAAGGUCUUCGGAUUGUAAAGCACUUUAAGCUGGGAGGAAGGGCAGUAAGUUAAUACCUUGCUGUUUUGACGUUACCAGCAGAAUAAGCACCGGCUAACUUCGUGCCAGCAGCCGCGGUAAUACGAAGGGUGCAAGCGUUAAUCGGAAUUACUGGGCGUAAAGCGCGCGUAGGUGGUUCAGCAAGUUGGAUGUGAAAGCCCCGGGCUCAACCUGGGAACUGCAUCCAAAACUACUGGGCUAGAGUAUGGUAGAGGGUGGUGGAAUUUCCUGUGUAGCGGUGAAAUGCGUAGAUAUCUGGAGGAACACCGGUGGCGAAGGCGGCAUCCUGGACCGGCAUUGACGCUGAGGAGCGAAAGCCAGGGGAGCAAAC
rnacentral:rRNA from 1 species